UGGGGAAUAUUGCACAAUGGGCGGAAGCCUGAUGCAGCGACGCCGCGUGGGGGAUGAAGGCCUUCGGGUUGUAAACUCCUUUCGACAGGGACGAAGCUUUUGUGACGGUACCUGUAUAAGAAGCACCGGCUAACUACGUGCCAGCAGCCGCGGUAAUACGUAGGGUGCGAGCGUUGUCCGGAAUUACUGGGCGUAAAGAGCUCGUAGGUGGUUUGCCGCGUCGUCUGUGAAAUUCCGGGGCUUAACUCCGGGCGUGCAGGCGAUACGGGCUGACUUGAGUGCUGUAGGGGAGACUGGAAUUCCUGGUGUAGCGGUGAAAUGCGCAGAUAUCAGGAGGAACACCGAUGGCGAAGGCAGGUCUCUGGGCAGUAACUGACGCUGAGGAGCGAAAGCAUGGGUAGCGAACAGGAUUAGAUACCCUGGUAGUCCAUGCCGUAAACGGUGGGCGCUAGGUGUAGGGGGCUUCCACGUCUUCUGUGCCGUAGCUAACGCAUUAAGCGCCCCGCCUGGGGAGUACGGCCGCAAGGCUA
rnacentral:rRNA from 1 species